rnacentral:rRNA from 1 species
AUAUUGGACAAUGGGCGCAAGCCUGAUCCAGCCAUUCCGCGUGCAGGAUGAAGGCCCUCGGGUUGUAAACUGCUUUUGUACGGAACGAAAAGGCUCUGGUUAAUACCUGGGGCUCAUGACGGUACCGUAAGAAUAAGCACCGGCUAACUACGUGCCAGCAGCCGCGGUAAUACGUAGGAUCCUAGCGUUGUCCGGAUUUACUGGGUGUAAAGGGUGCGCAGGCGGACUUAUAAGUCAGUGGUGAAAUCUCGGCGCUUAACGCCGAAACUGCCUUUGAUACUAUAAGUCUUGAGUUUGGUAGAGAUCCGUGGAAUUCCGAGUGUAGCAGUGAAAUGUGUAGAUAUUCGGAAGAACACCAGCGGCGAAGGCAGCGGAUUGGGCCAAUACUGACGCUCAGGCACGAAAGCAUGGGGAUCAAAC